UGGGGAAUAUUGCACAAUGGGCGCAAGCCUGAUGCAGCGACGCCGCGUGAGGGAUGAAGGCCUUCGGGUUGUAAACCUCUUUCAGUAGGGAAGAAGCUGAUCUUUCGGGGUUGGUGACGGUACCUGCAGAAGAAGCGCCGGCUAACUACGUGCCAGCAGCCGCGGUAAUACGUAGGGCGCAAGCGUUAUCCGGAAUUAUUGGGCGUAAAGAGCUCGUAGGCGGUUUGUCGCGUCUGCCGUGAAAGUCCGGGGCUUAACCCCGGAUCUGCGGUGGGUACGGGCAGACUAGAGUGCAGUAGGGGAGACUGGAAUUCCUGGUGUAGCGGUGAAAUGCGCAGAUAUCAGGAGGAACACCGAUGGCGAAGGCAGGUCUCUGGGCUGUAACUGACGCUGAGGAGCGAAAGCAUGGGGAGCGAACAGG
rnacentral:rRNA from 1 species